UACGAAGGGGGCUAGCGUUGUUCGGAAUCACUGGGCGUAAAGGGCGCGUAGGCGGCCGUUCAAGUCGGGGGUGAAAGCCUGUGGCUCAACCACAGAAUUGCCUUCGAUACUGGACGGCUCGAGUCCGGAAGAGGUCAGUGGAACUGCGAGUGUAGAGGUGAAAUUCGUAGAUAUUCGCAAGAACACCAGUGGCGAAGGCGGCUCACUGGCCCGAUACUGACGCUGAGGCACGAAAGCGUGGGGAGCAAACAGG
rnacentral:rRNA from 1 species